CAGUCGCCACGGUAAAACGAAGGGUGCAAGCGUUACUCGGAAUUACUGGGCGUAAAGCGUGCGUAGGUGGUGGUUUAAGUCCGUUGUGAAAGCCCUGGGCUCAACCUGGGAAUUGCAGUGGAUACUGGGUCACUAGAGUGUGGUAGAGGAUAGUGGAAUUUCCGGUGUAGCAGUGAAAUGCGUAGAGAUCGGAAGGAACAUCUGUGGCGAAGGCGACUAUCUGGGCCAACACUGACACUGAGGCACGAAAGCGUGGGGAGCAAACAGGAUUAGAUACCCCUGUAGUCCCUGUCUCUUAUAC
rnacentral:rRNA from 1 species